GAUUGCCUACGGGACGCAGCAGUGAGGAAUAUUGGUCAAUGGGCGCUAGCCUGAACCAGCCAAGUAGCGUGAAGGAUGACUGCCCUAUGGGGUGUAAACUUCUUUUAUAUGGGAAUAAAGUGCAGUAUGUAUACUGCUUUGCAUGUACCUUAUGAAUAAGGAUCGGCUAACUCCGUGCCAGCAGCCGCGGUAAUACGGAGGAUCCGAGCGUUAUCCGGAUUUAUUGGGUUUAAAGGGAGCGUUGGCGGGUUGUUAGGUCAG
rnacentral:rRNA from 1 species